rnacentral:tRNA from 1 species
GGACAGAUGUUCGAGUGGUUUAAGAAGCAGACCUGGAAAGUCUGUGUGCCCUUUAAAAAGGUACCGAGGGUUCGAAUCCCUCUCUGUCCG